AGCAAGCCUUUCUUUUACAACAAUUUCAACAAUUUAGAUCGGGUUCAAGCUAUAUUCCUCCUGGUAUUGGUGAUGAUGCUAAUGACGAUGAUGAUGUCGAUGAUGAUGCCGCCGAUGAUGUUGAUGAUGAUGCAUGAGUGUUUGGUUGGUAGGUGAAGAUGAUGGUGGUAUUGAUGUAAAAAUAUGUAAGUCUUUACCUAUUUACUUUUGUGUUGGUUUAUAAGAUUUUCUUUUCUUUGUUUAUCUUUUGAUGUAGGUAGAAGAAGGAUUUGGACUGAGAAGGAUCUCCAUAAGAUUUUCUUCAACUCUAUCUUUUUCAUGUUCUUGUAUGAUAUUGGAAUUUGGAUACUAUGACAUGUUUGUUAUAACUUUAUUGUAGUGUUUGGUUUAGGGUGUUAGUUGUAGUUGUAUAUUGUUGUAGUUUGUAUUGUUGGAUGAUGAUGUGUUGUAUUGUUAGUUUUAUGCUCUUAGUUUAGGUUGUAUAUGGAACAACAUGUUUUAAUGGUGCAUGUGUUUGGGUUUA